rnacentral:lncRNA from 1 species
ACUGUCGUUUGUAUCACAUACUGUACAUAACAUUGGGAAAAAUCAUUUAAAAUUUCUGCUCUUAUAUAAGUAGCAAAAUACCAUUUGCCUGCUGGCCCUAAUCCUGUAGAUAGGCUUGUGAGUACGUUCCUGCACAGCACAGUUAGUGGAACAGCUCAUGACACCCCAGGGAGACCAACACAAAGGAGAGAAAGCGAGGUAGCUAUUUGCAAACCAAUAGUACUACAAUGUCUAUCUCCAGGUUACUGAGAUCGAGUCAAUUUGAAAACAAGAUUGAGGGAGAAAUUCAUGUCAAUCAAUCAAGAAACCCCACAGACUUCACCAGAGGAUCACCUGGUGGGGAUGACCCUGGAAUUCUCACUGCCUGUUCAUCUUCGCAAGCUGUCACAGACCCUGAAACUAAAGGACCACGAUGGGCUGCAUCACCUCCAGAAGCAAGCAACUAACUCCCACCUGAAAUGGACACACCAUUGUAUCGCACGCAGCAUCACCAGGAACUGAAACAUGCUGACAGUUUUUCUCACCAUUUUCCCUUGAAACAGAUAGGCUGAACCAGCUCACAGAUGUUGCUUUUGUUGUAGAAAAUUAUUGUCUUUUCCACAGAAACACACAGAACCAACUCCCCACAGAACUUGAAUCGAAAGCUGAAGCAACUACUUCACUUUGGGUACUCGUCAGCCACUGUAAUGUUGCUUUGCAGGUGGUAAAGACCGCCCUGCUCUCUCUUUGCAGCUCUGCUGAAUUAAAUGGAGAGAUAUUUGCCUAUCACAGUCAGCUCGGAAUCCAGCAUUUAUUCAAAGCUGUCAAACCUCGCGCACUGAGUCAAAUCUGUCUAGAACAUCCAGGAAUUAGUUAUCCCGAGGUUGUAAGAUGCUUGGGUUGUUUGUUUGAAAACUUGUAAUUUUCAAGCAAAGAACCUUCCUAAAAUCAAAGACAAAUCAAAACCACCAGUGAAUUUCAGAUCCAGUGCCAUAGCAAAUUUUUCCUGAGAAGAGAACAAAACCUUGCUGGUUACAGUUACAGAAAGAGUCAGUCUCAGAAGGGUAGUACUGGGAUAACCGUGACAAUCACCAGUUUACUCCAGUGCUCAUUUUAUCUAUUUUCCACGAAAGCAAAAGCUCUUUAGAUGGUUGCUGAAGAGUUACUGUUAAGGUUCUGGACUCGGCAUAAUACAUGAAUUGGACUGCCUCAAAACUUCUAGCCUUUACUAGUAGUUUCAUAUGAAUACGUAAUUUCAAUUACCACCACUACAAGGGAAAAAAAGGGGGAAAAAGAGGAAAAAUAAAAGCUGCAUAGAUAAAAUGAUGCUUGAGAAG